ACCCAGCUGACGAGUUUCAAACAAAACGGAACGCACGUCUUGGAU
rfam:Schistosoma haematobium scaffold72_5, whole genome shotgun sequence.